rnacentral:rRNA from 1 species
UACAGAGGUCUCAAGCGUUGUUCGGAUUCAUUGGGCGUAAAGGGUGCGUAGGUGGCGCCGUAAGUCGGGUGUGAAAUCUCGGGGCUUAACUCCGAAACUGCAUUCGAUACUGUGGUGCUUGAGGACUGGAGAGGAGACUGGAAUUCAUGGUGUAGCAGUGAAAUGCGUAGAGAUCAUGAGGAAGACCAGUGGCGAAGGCGGGUCUCUGGACAGUUCCUGACACUGAGGCACGAAGGCCAGGGGAGCAAACGGG